ensembl:snRNA U2 U2 spliceosomal RNA
AUUGCUUCUUGGCCUUUUGGCUAAGAUCAAGUGUAACAGCAGUGAUAUGCUCUGUGUUAGCAAACAUUGUCUCAUUUAAUCCUCUUAUUGCCCUGUGAGAUAGGUAUGGUAUUUAUAUUCCUAUUUUUACUGAUGGCUAGACUGAAACUCUUAAAGGUUAAUUAAUUUGCCCACA